GAUGAACGCUGGCGGCGUGCCUAAUACAUGCAAGUAGAACGCUGAAGGAGGAGCUUGCUCUUCUGGAUGAGUUGCGAACGGGUGAGUAACGCGUAGGUAACCUGCCUGGUAGCGGGGGAUAACUAUUGGAAACGAUAGCUAAUACCGCAUGACAACAGUUAUUGCAUGAUAACUGUUUAAAAGGGGCAACUGCUCCACUACCAGAUGGACCUGCGUUGUAUUAGCUAGUUGGUGAGGUAACGGCUCACCAAGGCGACGAUACAUAGCCGACCUGAGAGGGUGAACGGCCACACUGGGACUGAGACACGGCCCAGAAUCCUACGGGAGGCAGCAGUAGGGAAUCUUCGGCAAUGGACGGAAGUCUGAACGAGCAACGCCGCGUGAGUGAAGAAGGUUUUCGGAUCGUAAAGCUCUGUUGUAAGAGAAGAACGAGUGUGAGAGUGGAAAGUUCACACUGUGACGGUAUCUUACCAGAAAGGGACGGCUAACUACGUG
rnacentral:rRNA from 1 species